UACGAAGGGGGCUAGCGUUGCUCGGAAUGACUGGGCGUAAAGGGCGCGUAGGCGGAUGGCACAGUCAGAUGUGAAAUUCCCGGGCUUAACCUGGGGGCUGCAUUUGAUACGUGUUGUCUUGAGUUCGGAAGAGGGUCGUGGAAUUCCCAGUGUAGAGGUGAAAUUCGUAGAUAUUGGGAAGAACACCGGUGGCGAAGGCGGCCACCUGGUCCGGCACUGACGCUGAGGCGCGAAAGCGUGGGGAGCAAACAGG
rnacentral:rRNA from 1 species